rnacentral:rRNA from 1 species
UCUGGUUGAUCCUGCCAGUAGUCAUAUGCUUGUCUCAAAGAUUAAGCCAUGCAUGUCUAAGUACAUACUUUUGCACGGUGAAACCGCGAAUGGCUCAUUAAAUCAGUUAUGGUUUCUUAGAUCGUUUCUUUUACAUGGAUAACUGUGGUAAUUCUAGAGCUAAUACAUGCAAAAAGCUCCGACCGUAUGGGAAGAGCGCUUUUAUUAGACCAAAACCAAUGGGGUCGCAAGAUCCCUUUGUUUGGUGACUCUGGAUAACUUUGUGCUGAUCGCAUGGCCUAGAGCCGGCGACGUAUCUUUCAAGUGUCUGCCCUAUCAACUUUCGAUGGUAAGCGAUUUGCCUACCAUGGUUGUAACGGGUAACGGGGAAUCAGGGUUCGAUUCCGGAGAGGGAGCAUGAGAAAUGGCUACCACAUCUACGGAAGGCAGCAGGCGCGCAAAUUACCCACUCCUAGAACGGGGAGGUAGUGACGAAAAAUAACAAUACCGGACUCAAAGAGGCUCGGUAAUUGAAAUGAGUACAGUUUAAAACCCUUAACGAGGAUCUAUUGGAGGGCAAGUCUGGU